AGAGUUUGAUCCUGGCUCAGAUUGAACGCUGGCGGCAGGCCUAACACAUGCAAGUCGAGCGGAUGAAGAGAGCUUGCUCUCUGAUUCAGCGGCGGACGGGUGAAUAAUGCCUAGGAAUCUGCCUGGUAGUGGGGGACAACGUCUCGAAAGGGACGCUAAUACCGCAUACGUCCUACGGGAGAAAGCAGGGGACCUUCGGGCCUUGCGCUAUCAGAUGAGCCUAGGUCGGAUUAGCUAGUUGGUGAGGUAAUGGCUCACCAAGGCGACGAUCCGUAACUGGUCUGAGAGGAUGAUCAGUCACACUGGAACUGAGACACGGUCCAGACUCCUACGGGAGGCAGCAGUGGGGAAUAUUGGACAAUGGGCGAAAGCCUGAUCCAGCCAUGCCGCGUGUGUGAAGAAGGUCUUCGGAUUGUAAAGCACUUUAAGUUGGGAGGAAGGGCAGUAAAUUAAUACUUUGCUGUUUUGACGUUACCGACAGAAUAAGCACCGGCUAACUCUGUGCCAGCAGCCCGGUAAU
rnacentral:rRNA from 1 species